ensembl:lncRNA LUCAT1 lung cancer associated transcript 1
CACUCAGACAAUGCCCAGACCUCCAGAAACCAUGUGUCAAGCUCGGAUUGCCUUAGACAGGUGCAAUUUAAGAACAGCUUUCAUCCUCUUUUCUCUCAUAUUGUCACACUAUGUGUUCUGACUUCUGGCUCCUUUCCUCACAAGAAGCUCACCCAGCUGGAACUCUUAUGGGACCUUGGCACCAGAGACCACAAAUUCCUCUUUGAAGUUUUCUAACAGCAACAAUGGUAUUUCUGACUUGGCUUUCUUGUAUUUCUCUCACGUUAACAAAAUUGGUUCAGCAUCUACCAUGGGCUACAUGCUGAGCUACAGAGUUUCGCUCUGUCGCCCAGGCUGGAGUGCAGUGGCGCGCGAUCUCGGUUCACUGCAAGCUCCACCUCCCGGGUUCACGCCAUUCUCCUGCCUCAGCCUCCUGAGUAGCUGGGACUACAGGCGCCCGCCACCACACCCAGGAAUCCAACUUGCUGUUUGCUAUCACAUGUGCUAUACAUGCUGUUGAUGAAACUGCUAAAGGGGCUGAAUGUGACUGACGUCUUUGGAAGGAUGAGACUUAGCGUGCCUGUACAGUUGUGUCCAAAUGCUGUCCUCAUCUCCCAAUGAAAAGAUGGAUAAACAGAGGCAACCCGAGGAUAAAGGCCUUGCUCAGUGUCACACAUUUCAGUCACUAAAUAAGACACAAUGGAUGCCAGUAUUCUCAUCCCCUCACAAAUAAAGAGCCUUCAAGCUCUUGCAGUCAA